ACAGCAUUGCUAUUGAAUGAACCACAGUCCUUUAUGUCAACAGGAUCAUGUCAAAGGACUGUCCAGAGAAAAACAAAUACAUAACAGAACUCCAAGACUCCUUUCCAAUAUUUCAUUUGCUGGGUUUCAAACGUCAUCAUGGGAGCAAUGAGACAAGAAAAGAGUCUUUUCUUCCUUCAAGGUCUGCAGUGAGCAGUGUAAAGCCACGCACAAUGGAUUUGGAAGAAGCUUU
rnacentral:lncRNA from 12 species